rnacentral:rRNA from 1 species
AUUGAACGCUGGCGGCAUGCCUUACACAUGCAAGUCGAACGGCAGCACGGGAGCAAUCCUGGUGGCGAGUGGCGAACGGGUGAGUAAUAUAUCGGAACGUGCCCAGUCGUGGGGGAUAACGCAGCGAAAGCUGUGCUAAUACCGCAUACGAUCUAUGGAUGAAAGCGGGGGAUCGCAAGACCUCGCGCGAUUGGAGCGGCCGAUAUCAGAUUAGCUAGUUGGUGGGGUAAAAGCCCACCAAGGCGACGAUCUGUAGCUGGUCUGAGAGGACGACCAGCCACACUGGAACUGAGACACGGUCCAGACCCCUACGGGAGGCAGCAGUGGGGAAUUUUGGACAAUGGGCGCAAGCCUGAUCCAGCAAUGCCGCGUGCAGGAUGAAGGCC